UACAGAGGGUGCAAGCGUUAAUCGGAAUUACUGGGCGUAAAGCGCGCGUAGGCGGUUAUUUAAGUCGGGUGUGAAAGCCCCGGGCUCAACCUGGGAAUUGCAUCCGAUACUGAGUAACUAGAGUAUGAGAGAGGGAGGUAGAAUUCCACGUGUAGCGGUGAAAUGCGUAGAUAUCUGGAGGAACACCGGUGGCGAAGGCGGCAUCCUGGACCAAUACUGACACUGAGGAGCGAAAGCCAGGGGAGCAAACGGG
rnacentral:rRNA from 1 species